AGUAACACGUAUGCAACCUACCCUUUACAGGGGGAUAGCCCUAAGAAAUUGGGAUUAAUACCGCAUAAAACAGGGAUGCCGCAUGGCAAUAUUUGUUAAAGGAGUAAUUCGGUGAAGGAUGGGCAUGCGUUGGAUUAGGUAGUUGGUGAAGGUAACGGCUCACCAAGCCGACGAUCCAUAGGGGAACUGAGAGGUUGGUCCCCCACACUGGUACUGAGACAGGGACCAGACUCCUACGGGAGGCAGCAGUGAGGAAUAUUGGUCAAUGGUCGGAAGACUGAACCAGCCAAAUCGCGUGAAGGAAGAAAGUAUUAUGUAUCGUAAACUUCUUUUGCAGGGGAAUAAAAGACAUCACGUGUGGUGUAUUGCAAGUACCUUGCGAAUAAGCAUCGGCUAACUCCGUGCCAGCAGCCGCGGUAAUACGGAGGAUGCGAGCGUUAUCCGGAUUUAUUGGGUUUAAAGGGUGCGUAGGUGGUUUUUUAAGUCAGCGGUGAAAUCUUAACGCUUAACGUCAAAAUUGCCGUUGAAACUGGGGAACUUGAGAGCAGACGAGGCAGGCGGAAUUCGUAGUGUAGCGGUGAAAUGCAUAGAUAUUACGAAGAACUCCAAUAGCGCAGGCAGCUUGCCAGACUGACACUGACACUGAAGCACGAAAGUGUGGGAAUCAAACAGGAUUAGAUACCCUGGUAGUCCACACUGUAAACGAUGAUUACUCGCUGUUUGCGAUAUACAGCAAGCGGCCAAGCGAAAGCAUUAAGUAAUCCACCUGGGGAGUACGCCGGCAACGGUGAAACUCAAAGGAAUUGACGGAAUCACUA
rnacentral:rRNA from 1 species